UAAAUGGCUAGAAUCUGGUAAGAUCUUGGGCCAUCAUCCUUGACUUAAAAUGGAUGUGAUCUCUGUUUGGAAAUUGCUUGCCUUGUGUUCUCAGGUAGUUGUUGUGCGCGUGAUGUGCUCGUUCAAAUGCUCAAGUAGGUUUCUGUCAUUGAAGCAUGCGGAUUUGUUGCGAAUUUAUGGAUGGGGCUCGAUUGAGUUUCCAAAAGAGGCAUGCAAUCCCCUGUUUCAGCUCUUGGGGCUGGGGGCAGAGCACCCGAGGUGCACGCGUAGAGGCUUGGUGGGGAUUUUCGUUUUCGGUGUCAGCCCUUGUAGGACUUCUGGCGGCUGUGAGUCCUAUGGGUCUCAGGACCCUGCCACUCGUGGUUACUCAUUGGGGGUUAGAGUGAGUUGAAAUCAGUGUCAGUGACCCAAAGUCCCAUGCCUUUUCUUUUCGGAUGAAUCAGAAAUAUCCUACCCGUAUUUUAUUUGGUAUUCCAUUAAAUCAUGUUUGAUUCCUUAAUUGAUCUUGUUGGAUUUGCUUGCUUAAUGUAUGUAUUCCAUUUACCAUUUUCUAAGAUUACAUUCAGAGUGAAUUGAUCCGUAAAGAUCCCCAUAUUUGCAAAGUAAAUUCUUAUGCCACUUUAUGAGUUUAUACUCUUGUAAAUUUUAUCCCAAGUUUAUGUUCUUAGAAUUUAUUCAUUGAAUGGAGUAAGAUUUACUCAUUUUGAGUGAUUCCCAUGUGGCCUGAGGCCCUUGACUGAA